GAUGAAGAACGCAGCGAAAUGCGAUAAGUAAUGCGAAUUGCAGAAUCCAUGAGUCAUCGAAUCUUUGAACGCACAUUGCGCCCUUUGGUAUUCCGAAGGGCAUGCCUGUUCGAGCGUCAUUAUCACCACUCAAGCCCGGCUUGCUGUUGGUGGCAGCGCAGCCGGUCAACCGGCUACGCUCCACCCAAAGAUAAUGACGGCGUCUGCGAGGACUCCUGUACAUUGAGCUUUCGGGCACGUACAUGGCUAGAAGUCCAGGCGCCGGUCGACGUCCUCCGGGACACUUUUUACCAAGGUUGACCUCGGAUCAGGUAGGGAUACCCGCUGAACUUAAGCAUAUCAAUAAGCGGAGGA
rnacentral:misc_RNA from 1 species